rnacentral:rRNA from 1 species
AUACGGAGGGUGCAAGCGUUACUCGGAAUCACUGGGCGUAAAGCGCGCGUAGGCGGCUUGGUCAGUCGGAUGUGAAAGCCCCGGGCUCAACCUGGGAAUGGCAUUCGAUACUGCCAGGCUAGAGUAUGGGAGAGGGAAGUGGAAUUUCCGGUGUAGCGGUGAAAUGCGUAGAUAUCGGAAGGAACACCAGUGGCGAAGGUGACUUCCUGGCCCAAUACUGACGCCGAGGUGCGAAAGCGUGGGGAGCGAACAGGAUUAGAUACCCCUGUAGUCC